rnacentral:tRNA from 1 species
AGGGACUUAGGUUAAUAACAGACCAAGAGCCUUCAAAGCCCUAAGUAAGAGUGAAAAUCCCUUAGCCCCUG